CAAAGCAACCAAAACUUAGGAAAAAACACAAAACAAACAACUAAAAACAAGGAAAGAACAAGAAAAGCAAAAAGAAAACAAAAACCAACGGUGGGUUGCCUCCCACCAAGCGCUAGAUUUAAAGUCGCCAGCCCGACGUAGAGGAUCCUUUAACCAAAAUCGCUAUGAAACGUCAGCUGAAUUAGUCCUCGUGAAAGCACAUCAUCCUCCAGUUCAGCUGCGG
rnacentral:lncRNA from 1 species